UACAGAGGUGGCAAGCGUUGUUCGGAAUUACUGGGCGUAAAGGGCGCGUAGGCGGCUUGGUCAGUCCCGUGUGAAAUCCCUCGGCUCAACUGAGGAACUGCACGGGAAACUGCCUGGCUUGAGUCCGGGAGAGGUGAGUGGAAUUCCCAGUGUAGCGGUGAAAUGCGUAGAUAUUGGGAGGAACACCAGUGGCGAAGGCGGCUCACUGGACCGGAACUGACGCUGAGGCGCGAAAGCGUGGGGAGCAAACGGG
rnacentral:rRNA from 1 species